AUGCCAUUACAAUUUGAAUCCUGAUGGACAUCCCAGUUGUUUGGCCUAAGAAGAAAACAUUAACAUUGGUCUUUAGCAUAGGCUUGUCUCUCAGUGAAUGUCAGUUUGGGGUAUGCAUGCGUGAAUGAAUGAAUGCUACAUGAAAUGCCAUGGAGAGACAACAGCAUUCUUCAUAGAAGAGCGUCACAUCCCAUUGUGUGUUGUGACAUCAGAAGCCUCCAUUCAGCUUCCUUACUUUAACCUUGGUUUGGGAUAUUUUCUGGGAGCUCUGGACCAAAAUCCUGUCUUUUUCAUCAUUGACCAUAUUCAUGGACCGCAUUGUUGUGGAAUGGCGCCGAUGAACAUAACGAAAAAUCUGCAUCCCAUUGUGCCCCUAAAUGCCCAAAUAACUGGUUAACUUAAUGCUUUGAUACUGUAGUCACAACAAAGAUGAGGGCUAGCAUAUCUGUCUUUUGAUAUCAGAGAUGCAAUUGAACAUCAGCCCAGGGCCAAUGUAUGACAUGUUUUCCAUGCAUUGGAGGCUUCUCCUUACUCCCAGGGGGACAGGCCACUAUUUCUGGGCCCAAUUCUGCAUGGAGGACUGAUACAGAAGGCUGGAUAAAUGUCUACAAUAAGAUAAUCUGUUCACUUGACUGCUUUUCCCAAUUGACUGUAACCUCAAGGAGAGGAGAUAUAUUUCUAUUUUGUUUACCACCCAGCAUGAUGCAAAGUGCUUGGCAAAUUGUAGGUCCCUGAUGAGCAUUUCUUGGACAAAUGAACGAAUGAAUGCUGUUCUUUUUUCACUGAGCUUUACUUCAAUCAGAACACGAAAACCUCUUCUCUCUGUAAGUGGGAAUCCCCUAGGCUGGGGGAAGGAAAUGUACCUCUUGCCUUCUUUUCUGAAGAUAAUUUUAAAAAUCAGCAACCAGCAGAAAUAGUUACCUUCUGCCUGGGUACACUGACUCGUCGCUGUCAUUACAAUCUCUCCCUCGCCAGUGAUAGCCCCGCAGCGUCUGAAAUUGAAGAGCACACACAGGAGGGUUUCAGCCCACUUUGAUGUUAUCCACGAGGAAGGUUAAUCAGAGCUGUCUGAAUGGCAUUGACAUCCACAGUUUUUAAUUCAAAUUCAAUCUAGGAUCACUAAAGAGCACUAAGAAAGUUAAGAUUAAUACAAUAAGACAUGCUGUGUGAAGUGACGUGUAAUAUAACACCAGGGCCAAUAACAGGUGGUAGGGUGUGUACAUGUGUGUUGUGUGACAUUGAAUGUUUGCCUAUAUGUGUGUGUCUGGGGUGCAUGUGUGUGAAUGUGAAUGUGUAUGUGUAUGUAUGGGGGCAUGUGUAUAUGCAUGUGUGUGUUCAUGUGUAUUUAUAUUGUAGAUGUAUGUGCAUGUGUCUGUGUGUACAUGUGUUUGCUCAUGUAUGUGUGUCUACAAGCACCUCCAGAAACAGCAGACCCAUCUACCCCCCCCAAAAUCCCUCUAUUAACCAUCAGUCCUCUCAGGCUGUGAAACAAUUUGCCUAUUGGGCCAAAUUAUUAAUUUUCUUGGAAAUUCUAAAGUCUCUAGCCAAAUGAUUAAUUAUGUAGGUUUAAAUAUUUGACCUGAAUGAUUGGAAUCAAGAGUUAUGAUAAUGUCAAAUAAUAUUUUUAUUUCCUCCUUUCCCAAGUAGAAUAUCUGAGAUUUUCCAAACUUUUGGGACUUUGUGACAUGUUACUUGUUUGUUGGCUUUCACAGAGAGAAUACUCUGACAUUUUAACUGUUCUGAAUCAAAUGCACACACACUGUUUAAAAAGCGUUUGGGGAGUCCCUGCUGCGUGCCAGGAAUCAUAUUAGAUACCAGAGAUGGGUACAAGAUACAGUUCCUGAACUCAAGGAGCUUGACAUGGGCAAGGAAAUUAAUGCAUCAAAAGGUUUUCUAAAUUUUAAACAAUGAGUACCAGCUCAGCAAUAAAUGCUUUCAGAAAAGAGCUCAA